rnacentral:rRNA from 1 species
UACGUAGGGGGCAAGCGUUGUCCGGAUUCAUUGGGCGUAAAGAGCGUGUAGGCGGCCAGGUAGGUCGGUUGUGAAAACUGGAGGCUCAACCUUCAGAGGUCGACCGAAACCAUCUGGCUAGAGUCCGGGAGAGGAGAGUGGAAUUCCUGGUGUAGCGGUGGAAUGCGCAGAUAUCAGGAAGAACACCAACGGCGAAGGCAGCUCGCUGGGACGGAACUGACGCUAAGGCGCGAAAGCGUGGGGAGCGAACAGG